rnacentral:rRNA from 1 species
GACGAACGCUGGCGGCGUGCUUAACACAUGCAAGUCGAACGGAAAGGCCCUGCUUUUGUGGGGUGCUCGAGUGGCGAACGGGUGAGUAACAGGUGAGUAACCUGCCCUUGACUUUGGGAUAACUUCAGGUAACUGGGGCUAAUACCGGAUAGGAGCUCCUGCUGCGUGGUGGGCGUUGGAAAGUUUCGGCGGUUGGGGAUGGACUCGCGGCUUAUCAGCUUGUUGGUGGGGUAGUGGCUUACCAAGGCUUUGACGGGUAGCCGGCCUGAGAGGGUGACCGGCCACAUUGGGACUGCGAGAGGGCCCAGACUCCUACGGGGGGCAGCAGUGGGGAAUAUUGCACAAUGGGCGGAAGCCGGAUGCAGCAACGCCGCGGGCGGGAUGACGGCCUGUGGGGUGUAAACCGCUUUCGCCUGUGACGAAGCGUUAGUGACGGUAAUGGGUAAAGAAGCACCGGCUAACUACGUG